rnacentral:rRNA from 1 species
GACGAACGCUGGCGGCGUGCCUAAUACAUGCAAGUCGACCUUAGUGGCGGACGGGUGAGUAACACGUGGGAACCUACCCAUCAGAGGGGGAUAACGUCCGGAAACGGGCGCUAAUACCGCAUACUAUCAGAUGAGCCUAGGUCGGAUUAGCUAGUUGGUGGGGUAAAGGCCUACCAAGGCGACGAUCCGUAACUGGUCUGAGAGGAUGAUCAGUCACACUGGAACUGAGACACGGUCCAGACUCCUACGGGAGGCAGCAGUGGGGAAUUUUGGACAAUGGGCGCAAGCCUGAUCCAGCCAUGCCGCGUGUCUGAAGAAGGCCUUCGGGUUGUAAAGGACUUUUGUCAGGGAAGCGGUACCUGAAGAAUAAGCACCGGCUAACUACGUGCCAGCAGCCGCGGUAAUUC